UACGUAGGUGGCGAGCGUUGUCCGGAAUCAUUGGGCGUAAAGAGCGCGUAGGUGGCUUGUUAGGUCUGAUGUGAAACCUUGGGGCUCAACCCCAAGCCUGCAUCAGAAACCGGCUUGCUAGAGUCUGGGAGAGGAGAGUGGAAUUCCUGGUGUAGCGGUGAAAUGCGUAGAUAUCAGGAGGAACACCGGUAGCGAAGGCGGCUCUCUGGAACAGUACUGACGCUGAGGCGCGAAAGCUAGGGGAGCGAAC
rnacentral:rRNA from 1 species